UGGUUCUGGCAUCGAUGAAGAACGCAGCGAAAUGCGAUAAGUAAUGUGAAUUGCAGAAUUCAGUGAAUCAUCGAAUCUUUGAACGCACAUUGCGCCCGCUGGUACUCCAGCGGGCAUGCCUGUUCGAGCGUCAUUUCAACCCUCAAGCUUUUUUGCUUGGCGUUGGGGAUCAGCUAGCCGAUAGCUGGCCCUGAGAUAUAGUGGCGAUCUCGCUGUAGCUUCCUCUGCGUAGUAGCACAAUCUCGCUCUGGAAAGACAGCGUGGUUCAGCCGUUAAACCCCCCACUUUCUCAAAGGUUGACCUCGAAUCAGGUAGGAAUACCCGCUGA
rnacentral:misc_RNA from 1 species